GGCGGCGCUGCUUCUGCUUGAGCGACAGUCCAGGCUCCGAGUCGCAGUCGGAUCCCGUUCCGGCGUCCAUGUCGUUGCUGCUGGUGUUGCUGCCGAUGCUUCCGCCUCCGGAAUAAGAAGAAACAAUAAUCGCCCAGUUCCAGCCCAACCCCCCUGGGCGGGUGGUUGGAAGAAGAGGAUGCCGCCAACAUGCACAGCACCUGUGCGGCUGACGAUCAUUUGCGUGCCGAGUGCUGCGGUCUCUUUUCUUUUUGUUCAAAGUUUAAAAAAGAAGAAAAGAAAAAGAGGUGGACCUCCCGCUGGUGUUUCUAUUGUCCCCUAUUAACACGGCUUUAGAUUUCUAGCUUUCUAGCAAGAGAGAAAAUGUUACACCACCGGUGAGAAAAGGAUGCCAUUCGUCGAGGUGGUGGUGUACAUACACGGCCAGCAGAUUCAAGUAAUAGCAGCCCAUUGUUGGAUGAAAUUGAUUUCUUUUUAAGGAGACCAGAUAGAUCGGUCGUAUAAAACUAGAAAUUUCGCGCUUCUAGAUAAUUUACAGCUACUGUUUAGUGUGGGCUAUUAGAAUGACCUAAUUGUGUAUUAUUUUUCGCCAAGGUAAAAAUUCUGAUGUUUUCAAAGUAUG